rnacentral:lncRNA from 1 species
AUGGCCCAAGUGCCCAACCAUCCCGGAAAACCUAAGAGCCUGGUAAACGGAACGGCUGCCUCGUCAGUCCCGCAGGGGAGGACAGAGGAAAUGGCCAUGGGACGCCCGCUCUCGUCCCCGAAUGCCGGCCUAGGCCUGCCCGGCCUCCCUCAGGCCCGCUGGGACGCGAGGCCACAGCCAAGCUUGCCGGUCCGUUGGGCCGGGCCGUUAGGAAAACACCUGCCGUUACUUCCCGCGCGCGCCAGGAGAAAUAAAUCCUCGCCCCGCUCUUUCAUCGGUGCUUCUCCCUCUCUUCAUCCCCUCCCGCCCGCCAGCAGGUGCCGAGAUUCCAACCAAUCACUAGUGCGCGCUCAACCUCCUCCGAGACUGAGAGUUAUUAGCAACGCAGCUGAGAGACCGCUAGGCAGCCCCUCCAGCCCACCAGACGCCCAACUCUGCUGCAGGCUAGUGCCUCCCGCCGCCUCCUCGUGUUUUUCUCUACGGUCCCGGCCACAUAGUAUGAUCAUUCGGUGUUCAGUUUCCCAACAACUUUCUAUGGAAAAUCAAGGGAAGUGGGCCAUGGUUGCCGUGAGCAACUUUGAAGAGCGGGACACCUUUAGAGAAGCUUGAUCAAGGUGCCAUCAUCGUGAGACCCUCCAAAUCAGGGUAAGGGUCCCUCGGGGUAGGUCUAGCGUUGGUGCUUCAAAUGAUUGGCAGUCUUCAGUGGAAGAGACCUUUGUGAAGCUGGAUGAGUGUGAAAAUGAUAUGGGGAUUCAUUGGGAUCAAUGCAAAAUCCUUCCUCUAACAGGUUUAAAAAAAUAAAUUGCUCAAGGACAGAAUAGGGUAGGGCUUU